UUUUCAAAUGAAUAUUUGUUGGUUACUAAUGUAGUAGUACUAUCUUUGCAGGGCACCAUCUCUGACGAGUCUCUGCCUCAUUUGUUGUCAGGAUAUCUUCAAAUUUGAAGAGGAGAUAAUAAAGUUUCCUCAGCUGCUUGAGGAGCUCGAGAUUUCACUAUAUUCUGGACUCGGAAGAGUAUGAUGAUUACUGUGAUCCUCUCCGCUAUCUCGACGGUGUGUACGAG
rnacentral:lncRNA from 1 species